AGAGUUGAUCCUGGCUCAGAUUGAACGCUGGCGGCAUGCCUUACACAUGCAAGUCGAACGGUAACAGGCCGCAAGUGCUGACGAGUGGCGAACGGGUGAGUAAUGCAUCGGAACGUGCCCAGUAGUGGGGGAUAGCCCGGCGAAAGCCGGAUUAAUACCGCAUACGACCUACGGGUGAAAGCGGGGGACCGAAAGGCCUCGCGCUAUUGGAGCGGCCGAUGUCAGAUUAGGUAGUUGGUGGGGUAAAGGCCUACCAAGCCUACGAUCUGUAGCUGGUCUGAGAGGACGACCAGCCACACUGGGACUGAGACACGGCCCAGACUCCUACGGGAGGCAGCAGUGGGGAAUUUUGGACAAUGGGCGCAAGCCUGAUCCAGCCAUGCCGCGUGCGGGAAGAAGGCCUUCGGGUUGUAAACCGCUUUUGUCAGGGAAGAAAUCUUCUGGGUUAAUACCUCGGGAGGAUGACGGUACCUGAAGAAUAAGCACCGGCUAACUACGUGCCAGCMSCCKCGGUAAU
rnacentral:rRNA from 1 species